rnacentral:rRNA from 1 species
UACGGAGGGGGCGAGCGUUAUUCGGAAUUAUUGGGCGUAAAGGGCGCGUAGGCGGCUGUACAAGUCAAAGGUGAAAUCCCUCGGCUCAACUGAGGAACUGCCUUUGAAACUGUACGGCUUGAGGCCGGGAGGGGAUAGCGGAAUUCCCAGUGUAGCGGUGAAAUGCGUAGAUACUGGGAGGAACACCAGUGGCGAAGGCGGCUACCUGGACCGGUUCUGACGCUGAGGCGCGAAAGCGUGGGUAGCAAACAGG